rnacentral:rRNA from 1 species
UAGGGAAUCUUGGACAAUGGGCGAAAGCCUGAUCCAGCCAUGCCGCGUGAGUGAUGAAGGCCUUAGGGUUGUAAAGCUCUUUCGCCAGGGAAGAUAAUGACGGUACCUGGAUAAGAAGCCCCGGCUAACUUCGUGCCAGCAGCCGCGGUAAUACGAAGGGGGCUAGCGUUGUUCGGAAUUACUGGGCGUAAAGCGCACGUAGGCGGCUUUCCAAGUUGGAGGUGAAAUCCCCGGGCUUAACCCGGGAACUGCCGCCAAAACUGAAAGGCUAGAGUCCGAGAGAGGUGAGGGGAAUUUCCAGUGUAGAGGUGAAAUUCGUAGAUAUUGGAAAGAACACCAGUGGCGAAGGCGGCUCACUGGCUCGGUACUGACGCUGAGGUGCGACAGCGUGGGGAGCAAACA